GACAGAGGGGAAAAAAUAUCUAAUGAACAGUGUAUUUCGCCCCUUCCCCAGUGAGCUGCACCUCGGUGGCAAUUACUUGCAAUGUUCUGGAGCUCUGGGUCUCCUCAGACCCCUGGCAGAGUAUGCAGAGAUACAGGGGAAAGACCAACUGGCCAUUUCCUCACCAGACACUGGGAACCCCCCUCCGCUGCUCCAAGCCAGACAGAGAGGAAGUUCACCUCUGAACCAGAUUGCAGAGUCAUCCAGGGCUGUAACAGUGAAACCUACCUCAGGGAAGAAGAGAAAAAAAGGAAUCAAGAAAAAAAUUAAAGAUUUGAUUGAAACUGGUCCUUGGUUAGUGAAGUUGUAUUUAGCAGAUAAUGGUAUAGAUGGAAAGGGAAAAGAAGGAGAAAAUGACUUGUUGGAAUUAACUCAAAUAUUAACAUGCCUGAUCAAAUACUCUGUCCACUUAAAGGAGAUUGACCUUGGAAACAAUGUCCUGGGAGAAAAGGCUGCUGUUGACCUACUUGAAGCACUGAGAGCCAGAAAGACAGGUAAACUGCCAGUUUUAAAAAUUACAGUCACUCCCCAGAUCUCUUCAGACACCUUCAGAUCUAUUUGGAAAAACAGCAAGAAAUCUAGUAGUACUCAUAAAAAGAAGAAAAAGGCUAAAAACUGAAUACGAAUGCCAUGUAUCCAUACGGAUUCUAUCUAUUUCCAUGGACAACUAGAUGCGCCUGGAAAAAUAUUGCUUGUAACCAAGUGGCUUGUAACCAAGUAUCACUGUAACCAAGCCCCUUUCAAGUUCUAAAAUUUGAUAAGACUCUUUUAUGAAAGUUCAGAAUAGUGUUAGUCUUAUCAUGUUUAUCAUUUUCUAAAAUGUGGGUUUCACAAACAGGUCUUAGUAAAAAUAAGUGGAAUUCUUCUUUGGGGCUCUUGUGCAUGUCAAGUUUAUAAUUUGAAGGAAGUUAUGAUCUUUAUCUAGAAAAGAAAAAAAUCUUCUUUCAUAAAUAUAUCUAUGGUUGGGAGCAACAGGAAUUUGGGAAAUAAUAACCACUUUCUGAAAGACAACAUCUCUAAAAAUAGGGAUCUUACCCCAAAUGAGGAAACCUCCGCUUACUGCAACCUAUACCCGCAUUAAAGUUUCAGACAGCUCCAUGGGCAAUGGAAGAGGUGUCAUGGAUCAAUAUAUUGAUGAUAAAUUGGGUUUGUUAAAUUGUACAUGUUGCAGGGAUAAAAAGCAUAGAUUGGGCAAUUAAAAUGAAACCAGAAUUCUCUGUGGAAACCUGCUGCUUUUCAGGUGACCUUGGGCAGGUCAGUUAACCUCACUGUGCCUCAGUUUCUCCUUACAUAAGAUACAGAUAAGAAGAGCACAUAGUCAUUUGGUGAGCAUUGAAUGAGGUGACACAUGUCAAGUAUUUUAAGAUAAUACCUGUUUCAUUGUAUGUUUUCAAAAAUUAAUAUUAAUGACUUGUAUUAUUGCUGAUGUUAGAAUUGAGUGAUUCCAGGUAUUUCACUUACAAUAGCUACACAAGAAAAAUAGAAAAAAAAAAAAAAAAAAGGCUUAAGAUCUCUUCAUUUAGCACUUAGAAACUGCCAUUGAUUCUAUGUAUAAUGUAACAAGUUCUGGUAUGUUCCGGGCAAAAAUCUAAUUGUGGAGGUGAGGAUGGUUAUGGUAAAUUAUGUCCUCUCUUGAGGAUCUUAGCUCCUAGCAAGGAAGUCAGGAUCCUCAUUCAUUAAAAGUAAACAUUAGGGCAUGAGUUGAAAUAGUCAGGGUAAGCAAGCCUAUGGAAUAGUGACAGCAACUUAACAAAUCUCCAGAACUUAUAUAUCUGAUGUUAAGAUGUGUGAGGCUUCCUGGUAAAUUGUUUCUGCUAAAAAAAAAAAAAUAGAACUUUUUAAAGAUUUGCCACUGACAUCCACGGGAUGGGAGUGUAAAAUCUGUGUGUUCUUUUAGGUGUAUUUUGACAAUGUCUAUCAAAAUGAAAACAAACAAACAACCUAUAGCCUUGACUCAGGCAUGCAUACAUUUAGGGGUCUUUUGACAAUGUCUAUCAAAAUGAAAAAAAAAAAAAAAAACAUAGCCUUGACUUAGGCAUGCAUACAUAUUUCCUUGCACGUGUCUGGAGUAUAUCUAUCUAUAGAAAUAUGUAUAUGCUGCUGCUGCUGCUGCUAAGUCGCUUCAGUCGUGUCCGACUCUGUGCGACCCCAUAGACGGCAGCCCACCAGGCUCCCCCAUCCCUGGGAUUCUCCAGGCAAGAACACUGGAGUGGGUUGCCAUUUCCUUCAGUGCGUGAAAGUGAAGUCGCUCAGUCGUGUCUGACUCUUUGAGACCCCAUGGACUGCAGCCUACCAGGCUCCUCCAUCCAUGGGAUUUUCCAGGCAAGAGUACUGGAGUGGGGUGCCAUUGCCUUCUCCGUGUAUAUAGAAAUAUCUAAGGAAAUAUGUAUUAAGAUGUUUACAGCAGCACUAUUAAUUAUACAUUGGAAACAACUAAAUGUCUCUCAACUGGUUCUCAGAGACAUAAAUCACAGGAAAUGUAUAUAGUGGAAUACUGUGCGGUCAUUAGGAAGAACAACGUGCAUAUGAAAAAGCUUAUGUGGAGAGAUGCGCUAGUUAUACUAUUAAACAAAAAGAGCAGCCUGGAGAAUAGUGAAUGUGAAAAUUUCACAUUAAAAUGAACUGGUAUAAUAUGAGUUGGCAAUUUCAUCUCUGGGUUUAUAUAUCCAAAAAAAUUGAAAGCAAGAUCACGAAGAGAUAAUUGUACACCUAUGUUCAUAAAGUGUUAUUCAUAAUAAUUAAAUGAUAGAAGCAACCCAUGUAUCCACUGAUAGAUGAAUAGAUCAGCAAAAUGUGGUCGAUACAUACAAUGGAAUAGUAUUCAGUUUUAAAAAGGAAGGAAAUUCUGACACAUGCUACAGCAUGGAUGAACCUGGAGGACUUUAUGCUGUGUACACCAGUUACAAAAAGACAAACACUGUAUAAUUCCAAUUAUGUGAGGUACCUAGAUUAUUCAAACUCAGAAACAGAAAGGAAAAUGGUGGGUGCCAGAGGGACAAGGGCGAAAUGCAGAGUUGUUUAAUGGGUAUGGAAUACAGUUUCAGUUUGGGAAGAUGAAAAAGUUCUAGAGAUUGGUUGAUAACAAUGUGAAUGUACUUAAUGCUACUGAACUAUAUACACUUAAAAAUGGUUAGGAUGGGGGUUUCCCUGGUGGCUCAUGGGAAAAAGAAUCCACCCACCAAUGAAAGAGACAAUGGUUCCAUCCCUGAUCCAGGAAUAUCCCACAUGCCGUGGAGCAACUAAGCCCAUGCACCCCAACUACUGAACCUAUGUUCUAGAGUCCAGGAGUCACAACUACUGAAGCCCUUGCGCCCUAGAGUCUGUGCCACACAGCAAGAGAAGCCACUGCAGUGAGAAGCCCGGCACUGCAACUGGAAGAGACCCCGCCUGCAAAGAAGACCCGGCACAGCCAAAAAUAAGUAAGUAAAUAAAGUUUAAAUCUUUAGGAUGG
ensembl:lncRNA